UACGAAGGGGGCUAGCGUUGCUCGGAAUCACUGGGCGUAAAGGGUGCGUAGGCUGGGUUUUUAAGUCAGAGGUGAAAUCCUGGAGCUCAACUCCAGAACUGCCUUUGAUACUGAAAGGUCUUGAGUAUGGGAGAGGGUGAGUGGAACUGCGAGUGUAGAGGUGAAAAUUCGUAGAUAUUCGGAAGAACACCAGUGGCGAAGGCGGCUCACUGGUCCGGUACUGACGCUGAGGUGCGAAAGCGUGGGGAGCAAACAGGG
rnacentral:rRNA from 1 species